rnacentral:rRNA from 1 species
CACGGAGAUGGCCAAGCGUUGCUCGGAAUCAUGUACGUGGGCGUAAAGGGUGGCGUAGGCGGCCGCGCAAGUCUGGCGUGAAAGCCCCGGGACUCAGCCCGGGAAGGGCGCUCGAAACGGCGCGGCUCGAGUGCCGGAGGGGAGAGUGGAAUUCCUGGUGUAGCGGUGAAAUGCGUAGAUAUCAGGAGGAAUACCGGUGGCGAAAGCGACUCUCUGGUCUGUAACUGACGCUGGAGGCGCGAAAGCGUGGGGAGCAAACAGG